rnacentral:rRNA from 1 species
UACGGGGGGGGCAAGCGUUGUUCGGAAUUACUGGGCGUAAAGGGCUCGUAGGCGGCCAACUAAGUCCGACGUGAAAUCCCCAGGCUUAACCUGGGAACUGCGUCGAUACUGGAUGGCUUGAAUUCGGGAGAGGGAUGCAGAAUUCCAGGUGAUAGCGGUGAAAUGACGCAGAUAUCAGGAGGAACACCAGUGGCGGAAGGCGGCUCACUGGCCCGAUACUGACGCUGAGGCACGAAAGCGUGGGGAGCAAACAGG